AUUGAACGCUGGCGGCAGGCUUAACACAUGCAAGUCGAGCGGGGUGAUGGUGCUUGCACUAUCACUUAGCGGCGGACGGGUGAGUAAUGCUUAGGAAUCUGCCUAUUAGUGGGGGACAACAUCUCGAAAGGGAUGCUAAUACCGCAUACGUCCUACGGGAGAAAGCAGGGGAUCACUUGUGACCUUGCGCUAAUAGAUGAGCCUAAGUCGAAUUAUCUAGUUGGUGGGGUAAAGGCCUACCAAGGCGACGAUCUGUAGCGGGUCUGAGAGGGUGAUCCGCCACGCUGGGACUGGGACACGGCCCAGACUCCUACGGGAGGCAGCAGUGGGGAAUAUUGGACAAUGGGGGGAACCCUGAUCCAGCCAUGCCGCGUGUGUGAAGAAGGCCUUAUGGUUGUAAAGCACUUUAAGCGAGGAGGAGGCUCUUUUGGUUAAUACCCAAGAUGAGUGGACGUUACUCGCAGAAUAAGCACCGGCUAACUCUGUGCCAGCCGCCGCCGUAA
rnacentral:rRNA from 1 species